rnacentral:rRNA from 1 species
GAGUUUGAUCAUGGCUCAGGAUGAACGCUAGCGACAGGCUUAACACAUGCAAGUCGAGGGGCAGCGGGGGCGAAGCUUGCUUCGCCUGCCGGCGACCGGCGCACGGGUGAGUAACACGUAUGCGACCUGCCCCCCGCAGGGGGAUAACCGGGAGAAAUCCCGACUAAUACCGCGUAACGCCGCGGGGCUGCAUGGCCUCGCGGCCAAAGGAAGCGAUUCCGGCGGGGGAUGGGCAUGCGGCGCAUUAGCUAGUCGGCGGGGUAACGGCCCACCGAGGCGACGAUGCGUAGGGGUUCUGAGAGGAAGGUCCCCCACACUGGUACUGAGACACGGACCAGACUCCUACGGGAGGCAGCAGUGAGGAAUAUUGGUCAAUGGGCGGGAGCCUGAACCAGCCAAGUCGCGUGAGGGAAGACGGUCCUAUGGAUUGUAAACCUCUUUUGCCGGGGAGCAACGGGGUCCUUGCGAGGGCCUGAUGAGAGUACCCGGAGAAAAAGCAUCGGCUAACUCCGUGCCAGCAGCCGCGGUAAUACGGAGGAUGCGAGCGUUAUCCGGAUUUAUUGGGUUUAAAGGGUGCGUAGGCGGGCUGUUAAGUCAGCGGUCAAAUGUCGGGGCUCAACCCCGGCCUGCCGUUGAAACUGGUGGCCUCGAGUGGGCGAGAAGUAUGCGGAAUGCGUGGUGUAGCGGUGAAAUGCAUAGAUAUCACGCAGAACUCCGAUUGCGAAGGCAGCAUACCGGCGCCCGACUGACGCUGAGGCACGAAAGCGUGGGUAUCGAACAGGAUUAGAUACCCUGGUAGUCCACGCAGUAAACGAUGAAUGCUAGCUGUCCGGGGCUUCGGUCCUGGGUGGCACAGCGAAAGCGUUAAGCAUUCCACCUGGGGAGUACGCCGGCAACGGUGAAACUCAAAGGAAUUGACGG